rnacentral:rRNA from 1 species
GGGGAAUCUUCCGCAAUGGCGCGAAAGCNNCUGACGGAGCAACGCCGCGNUGAGGGAGGAAGGCCUGUGGGUUGUAAACCUCUUUUCUCAGGGAAGAAGUUCUGACGGUACCUGAGGAAUCAGCAUCGGCUAACUCCGUGCCAGCAGCCGCGGUAAGACGGAGGAUGCAAGCGUUAUCCGGAAUUAUUGGGCGUAAAGCGUCCGUAGGCGGUUCAGAAAGUCUGCUGUUAAAGCUCACAGCUCAACUGUGAAUCGGCAGUGGAAACUUCUGGACUAGAGAGUGGUAGGGGUAGAGGGAAUUCCUAGUGUAGCGGUGAAAUGCGUAGAUAUUAGGAAGAACACCAGUGGCGAAGGCGCUCUACUGGGCCAUUACUGACGCUGAUGGACGAAAGCUAGGGGAGCGAAAGGGAUUAGAUACCCCUGUAGUCCUAGCUGUAAACGAUGGACACUAGGUGUUGGCCGUAUCGACCCGGUCAGUAUCGAAGCAAACGCGUUAAGUG